AGCAGCCGCGGUAAUUCCAGCUCCAAUAGCGUAUAUUAAAGUUGUUGCAGUUAAAAAGCUCGUAGUUGAAUUUCGGGAUUUGUCAGUUGGUCGGGCUUCACUGUCCGUAUUGACUUGAUGGAUUCUUACCUUCUGAAUAACCAGCAUGCUAUUAAGUUAGUGCGUUGGGGAAGCAGAUCUAUUACCUUGAAAAAAUUAGAGUGCUUAAAGCGAGCUAGUGCUAGAAUAGAUUAGCAUGGAAUAAUAAAAUAGGACGGCAUGGUUCUAUUUUGUUGGUUUCUAGGAUCACCGUAAUGAUUAAUAGGGAUAGUUGGGGGCAUUAGUAUUCAAUUGUCAGAGGUGAAAUUCUUGGAUUUAUUGAAGACUAACUUCUGCGAAAGCAUUUGCCAAGGAUGUUUUCAUUAAUCAAGAACGAAAGUUAGGGGAUCGAAGACGAUCAGAUACCGUCGUAGUCUUAACCAUAAACUAUGCCGACUAGGGAUCGGACGAUGUUAAUUUUAUAAUGACUCGUUCGGCACCU
rnacentral:rRNA from 1 species